GAAAAUGCAGCUUCGAGAAAGCAUUCUUCCCAAAGGAACAGAUGAUGAGUCUUUAUAUGACAAAAUUAAUAUCAUCCACCAAAUACCAGAUGCUGAUAAAAAAAAUUCAAGAAGCAAAGAUGAAACAUUAUACAGCACUCCAGCCAGAGGGCAGCAGAAACACUCAAUUAAAAAUUACUCCAAGAAUGCUAAAUGAAAAAGGAAUAUUAUUUCACACUGAAAACAUUGUAUUCUGAACUAGCAAAGCAUGUUGGUUCAGAGGUAUCAGCAUUGGCGGAACAUUACCUUCCUUUCCUCUCAGCAACUGAGACGUUGUCCUUUUACAAGUUUAUUGAACAGUAUCUCCAUCACAAUAUCUCUGUUUUCAAUUUCAUGUUUUUCAAAUUGAUUUACAAUAUAGGCACUAGAUUAACUGUUCACAAACCCAUUUAGAAAAAUUACCUGGCUUCCUGACCAUCGCUUGGUAUAAGGAUUAUUCAUGGUUGUUAACAAUAGUUUUAUUUCAUGAUUUCUUCAGACCUAUUUGUUUCAUUACUUUUUGGGAUAAUGCCUUUUCUCAGUUUUCUGGUUUUUUAUUUGGUGUUUAUGCAUUUAUGUAUUAUUUCUAAUAUCCAUACAUUAUAAUGUGACCCUGAAGGGAAAAAGAAGGUUACAAAAUGAAUGGAUGUGUGGAUAAUCAUAUAUACAGGUUCUUGCAUUUAAUUAAAGAUGCAAAGGCAAAGAGAUUUACAUUAAUUUCUCAAAGAAAAAACUAUUUUAAAAAGAAUCUUAAUCACAUCAUAAGAAAGCUGUGCAUUCCAUUUAAUUAUUUUUAACUGUGGAAUGUCACUGAUUUUGUUUUACUGAGUAGAGCCACACUGGAACUGCUCAUCUCUAACUUGUAUGUAAUAUUUUCUUACUUUUAAUGCUCAUCAGUAGCAUUAUAAUUGAUUUAUCUACAAUUUGAGACUGUGAUGUUACUUCAUGUUCAUACUGUAUAUAGCUCAAUGCUUUUUUCUGCACAAGCAUUCUGGACAUAUUGUAUUUUAGUGCACACCUUUGUGUACUAAACUAUGGCAACUUUUUUCUUCUUCAUCUUUUCUCACUUCUAUGUGGAGUCAAUGUUUUAUAAUGUUUUUUCCCAUAUGCUUAAAAUGUGACAGGUUGCCUCAUCUCAAACCAUUUUUACUUUUUCUAAAUUGUUCAUGUAUAUUAAACAUAUUAUUGCAAUGCCUCUUUUAGCACAAUUUUGGAAUUGUCCCCAAAUUUUAAUUGAAGAUUUCUAAUCCAGUCUUACAGUAUUAUGCCAGUCUUAAAAUCCCCACUAGCCUGUAUCUCCUGGAUCAAUACUUUCUACUUCCUCUAUUACUUUCUGUCCUUUAACAUAUUUUGCAUUAAAUAAUUAUUUUUUAUAAUAUGAUUUUGCAUAAUGACUUCCUGUCUCAGGAUCAAGAUUUCAUAAGAGGAGAAAUAUCCAGAUGUCUUAAUCCACUUGGCAAGCAAUACAAAUGGGCUUUACACCUAAUUCAUUUUGUGUGAAUGUUUAAACAUUAAAACUUAAUUUGUUCAACUGUGACAUACAAAUAUUGAAAUAUGUAACCUUGGGCUAUGCUUAUUAUAAAGAAUAAAAUGCCAGUUCAGCUUU